CCAUCACAGACAGAGUCACCGGGGACUUGGCGAGCCACCAGGAUACUCCCUACCUCCCACUCUCCCAGGUCAUGGGAGACCCCUUGGGACACGCGUGCGUCUCUGGGACCUGAUUCCGCUGCUGCGGCACACCUAGAUAUACCCACCCAUAGAUCCCAGCCACCAUGUCGUGAGGAAACUCAACUGAGUGUGCAUCGGAACACCUUGCUGGAGGAGCCUCGAGGCUCCCAGGUGCUUACCACCAACACUGGAUUCCUGAAUGAAACCUGUGAAUUCACUGACAGCAUUUGUGUCGACCACGGAGAUCUCGGUUACCACCAUGCAGGACUGGCUGUGUUUUGUCCCCAAUGUGCCCUGUCCAGACUCCAGACUCACGGACCACGUGAGCAUUAAAAUAUUUCUCUGC
rnacentral:lncRNA from 1 species